UUGUCCCUGGUAUGGUGGGGCAGGGCUGCAGGGAAUUGACCCUUGAGGGCUACGUGGGCCACUGACAGGCAUUCAUGCUACACACCCCUGUCUCUUUGCCCCUCACACACGUGCAGGUCUCAGUGCCGCCAUGGCACCCCCUCUUUGCUCCCAGCAUCCUGCCCGGAGGGGCCGUGCCCGCUCCCCACGGGGACAGGCAGUGCUGGGCAGCAUUCGCUGCAUGCAUGGGCCCUGCCAGACAGAUGCCCCAUUGUGUGGCGUGUGGGCAGCCCGGGCAGCCGGGCGGAGGUGGCACCAGGCCCCAGCCGAGCGGCCACAGUGGCUGGAGCCGGUGCUGAGCCCCUGCCCUGUCACACCCAGUUGGAGGUGACGCUGGAUCUGGCUGAGCGGCGCCGCAUCCGCUCGGCCAUCAGGGAGCUGCAGCGGCAGGAGCUGGAGCGGGACGAGGAGGCGCUGGCAUCCAAGCGCUUCCGCCCGGAGCGUGGCAGCCACCGACAAGACAACAAGGAGAACUGGCCACGGUCCCAGCACCUGGAGGAGGAGCAGCAGACAGCCCUAGCUGCCUUGGCCCGGCAGCUUGAAGCCAUCACUGAUGUGGAGGAGCUGACCAAACUGCUGCGGGCAGCGGGUGAGUACGAGGAGCGCAAGCUGAUCCGAGCUGCCAUCCGCAAGCUACGAGCUGAGGAGAUUGAAGGUGAGACAGUCCCUGCAUCCCAGGGUGGCUACCCUAGAGAGCCCAGGACAUGAGCAGCUCCUUCCUAAAUACCACCUUUGCUCUCAUCCAGCUGCAACCCUGGCUGGGAAUGCACAGAGCAGUCAGAGGGACAGCAGCGAGCCCCACACUGUGCCUGGGGAUGUGAAAAGCAGCCGUAGGGAUGAUGCUGAAACACCAGCUCUGUCUGGCGGCACGAAGAGUAGCCGGAUGGGUGAUACUGCACUGUCGGCCGGGACCAGGACCGGGAAGAGCCAUGGCGAGGAGAACACUGAGCCCCAAGCCACGGCUGGGAGCAGGGAGAGCAGCGAGCAGGAUGAUGCAGAGCAGCGGGUGCUGGCUGGGCCUGAGGAAAGCAGCCAUGUUUGUGCUGCAGAGCAGCCCCCUGCCCAGGAGCCUGAAGGCUCAGUGGCCCCCAAGCGAGGUGAUGCAGUGGAGCAGGAGCAUGUCCCAGCUGAAAUGCAGGAGCUACGCAGCCAUCAGGCAGAAGACUCCCAGAAACCCAGCACCCAGGGUGAGUCCCCAUGAAUGCCGGUGGCAAAGUCCCAUCUGGCUGUGUGCCUGGGGCCAAAG
rnacentral:lncRNA from 1 species